AGUGUUAUAGUUUUGGAGUGCCAUAAAAGCGUUACUUGUAAGCGCGUUUAAUACCUUUUGGAAUCAUUUGACAAAGAUCAAAAACCCACAAAAAACAAGAAUUAAUGAGAACUAGGAUUGGAGUAAUAAUGGUGGCCACGACUGGACUUGAACCAGCGGCCACUACCA
rnacentral:antisense_RNA from 18 species